UAUAUUCAUUAACAGGUAAUAUACUGUAUUGUGUGCCCUGUGUUAGAGACUGGUAAUGGGAUAAGCAAUGAGUUCAGGGAUUUCGUAAAAGGUUGAUCAAUUUGCCAAGAUUUCAUAAGAGUUGAUAUGACUACACCACAGACUCUGAAAUGGUGUUUUUAAAUAACACUAUCAAGAGCAAAGGAAAUCAAGCUAUUCGUAAUUAGUUUUCUAUGACAAAGUUGGAAUGGCUGUGUCAUUGUUUUACAAAAUGUCAAAGUGCAGCAGAAGGAGAAGAAAUCUUUCGUGUCUGGUGAUUAUUCAUAGAUCUGGGUGCCCUGAGAGCAGUAUUUCUCCAAAGGGUUGCCUGCACCAAUAGCUGACUCAUCUGUGGAACUUGUUCAAAAUGCAAGCCCCUAAGCCCCUUGGCAGGCUUAUUGAAUGAAAGCUCUGAAUGUGAAUUUUAUCACAGUGGAGACUCUAAUACUCAUGGAAAUUUGAGAUCUGCAGAGAAAAAUGGCAUUAUUCGAUAUGUAAUAAGCAUUCUUAAUAUGAAUAUGGCACAAAUAAUUGAGAAUAUCAAUACUCAGAUGAGUCUAAAUAUGAGUGGAUUAGUCUAGAAAACUUUAGUCCAGAAAACCGAAAUACAUAUCAGUGAUUUUGAAACAUCUGGAAGUGAG
rnacentral:lncRNA from 10 species